CCUACGGGAGGCAGCAGUAGGGAAUAUUGCUCAAUGGGGGAAACCCUGACGCAGCAACGCCGCGUGGAGGAUGAAGGUUUUCGGAUUGUAAACUCCUUUUGUUAGAGAAGAUAAUGACGGUAUCUAACGAAUAAGCACCGGCUAACUCCGUGCCAGCAGCCGCGGUAAUACGGAGGGUGCAAGCGUUACUCGGAAUCACUGGGCGUAAAGAGCGCGGAGGCGGGAUGGCAAGUCAGAUGUGAAAUCCUAUGGCUUAACCAUAGAACUGCAUUUGAAACUGUUAUUCUAGAGUAUGGGAGAGGUAGGUGGAAUUCUUGGUGUAGGGGUAAAAUGCGUAGAGAUCAAGAGGAAUACUCAUUGCGAAGGCGACCUGCUAGAACAUAACUGACGCUGAUGCGCGAAAGCGUGGGGAGCAAACAGGAUUAGAUACCCCAGUAGUC
rnacentral:rRNA from 1 species